rnacentral:rRNA from 1 species
GAUGAACGCUGGCGGCGUGCCUAAUACAUGCAAGUCGAGCGAACAGACGAGGAGAUUGCUCCUCAGACGUUAGCGGCGGACGGGUGAGUAACACGUGGAUAAUCUACCUAUAUGACUGGGAUAACUUCGGGAAACCGGAGCUAAUACCGGAUAAUAUAUUGAACCGUAUGGUUCAAUAGUGAAAGACGGUUUUGCUGUCAAUUAUAGAUGGAUCCGCGCCGCAUUAGCUAGUUGGUAAGGUAACGGCUUACCAAGGUAACGCUGCGUAGCCGACCUGAGAGGGUGAGCGGCCACACUGGAACUGAGACACGGUCCAGACUCCUACGGGAGGCAGCGGUAGGGAAUCUUCCGCAAUUGGCGAAAGCCUGACGGAGCAACGCCGCGGUAGGGAUGAAGGUCUUCGGAUCGUAAAACUCUGUUAUUAGGGAAGAACAAAUGUGUAAGUAACUAUGCACGUCUUGACGGUACCUAAUCAGAAAGCCACGGCUAACUACGUG